UUGAUUGCAGCCGAUACAAGCUGAAGAUAGUACGAUAACUAUGUUAUGACUCUGGGCUUUUAGUAUAUUGUUUUUCUGCUAAUCAUUUUGUACAAGUAUAAAUGCAUUGAACUAUUAAAAGCUUUUCGCUUUGUUGUUGUAAAAUAAUCAUAUUCUGUGUGCUUGUGUAACUAAAAGAACUUCCAGCUAUGUCUUUCAUUGAAGGUUUCCUUCCUUGGUAUGCUUGUAAAGGCCAAUAGCCUUAUUAGUUCCAGUAUCAAGAUUUAUAGGCCUACAAGCCAAAAAUUAUACUUAGACGAAAAUUAUGAGCUUGAUCUAGUUCUUUAGAAAUUACUAAUUUAUGUUCUGUAAAGAAGUUUGUGUCAUCUUUACUGACUAAACUUUUCUUUCCCUCAUUUAGAUUUUUAAGGGAUGUGAAUUAACAUCUCUUGAUUCUAUACCUUUGGAUACCAGGUUCACAGGUCCAUCCAGAUCCUGAGGGACAAGCAAGAAAUUGCUGAAACCCAGAAGGAACUAGCCAAACUCCAACUCGCACACAAGGAAUCUGCUCAAAAGACUGAAGAGGCCAUUGCACCACCAUCAGCAUCUGAGCCGAAGAAGCAGCAUGACGACAAGCCAGAAGCAUCAAACCAACAUCUAGCCCUCGUGCUAUCUCGCCAGGCAACUGUACCCCACUCACUCCCACCGAGAGCUUCCGAUCCAAUCCAACCCUACAAGGAACCGACUUUACAGCAGACCAUACCCGCUCAUUUGGGCCCGCAACAGGAUCGUUAUAUUCUCAACCAAGCGAGUGCUUACUACCCGCAGAGCCAACCGAUGCAACCUGAGCUACAAUACAUUCAAACCAGGCCGCCACAAACUCAAGAUAUUCCGGUCCCACUGCCACCUCAGCAGCCUUCCCAAGUAAUUAGUCAGGCUCAAACACAGACUUUCCCUCAAUAUCACCAGCAGCAAUGGCCUCAGCCGCCCUCUCAGCAAUUUCCCCCGCAGGUGAUGCAGCCUCAACAACCUAACCCUAAUCAGUUACCCCCACAGGUGGUACAGCAGCACCAAUCUGCACCACAGACUNACAACUUUAAAUUUUAAAUUUUAUAUAUAAAUUUUAAAUUUUAAAUUUUAAAUCUAAUUUAUAUAUAUCUAAUUUUAUUUAUAAAUCUAUAUUUAUUUACUAUAUAUAAUUUUUAUAUUUAAUUUUUUAAUGCUUAAAAUUUUAAAUUAGAUUUAAAAAUUAAAAUAUUAAAAAUAUUAUUUAAAAUAUGUUAAAAAUUACGUAAAUUUUCCGCCGCGAAGCGCGGGCCUACACUAGUAUAUAUAAUUCACAGGGAUUGAAAACUUGAUUGCAGCCGAUACAAGCUGAAGAUAGUACGAUAACUAUGUUAUGACUCUGGGCUUUUAGUAUAUUGUUUUUCUGCUAAUCAUUUUGUACAAGUAUAAAUGCAUUGAACUAUUAAAAGCUUUUCGCUUUGUUGUUGUAAAAUAAUCAUAUUCUGUGUGCUUGUGUAACUAAAAGAACUUCCAGCUAUGUCUUUCAUUGAAGGUUUCCUUCCGUGGUAUGCUUGUAAAGGCCAAUAGCCUUAUUAGUUCCAGUAUCAAGAUUUAUAGGCCUACAAGCCAAAAACUAUACUUAGACGAAAAUUAUGAGCUUGAUCUAGUUCUUUAGAAAUUACUAAUUUAUGUUCUGUAAAGAAGUUUGUGUCAUCUUUACUGACUAAACUUUUCUUUCCCUCAUUUAGAUUUUUAAGGGAUGUGAAUUAACAUCUCUUGAUUCUAUACCUUUGGAUACCAGGUUCACAGGUCCAUCCAGAUCCUGAGGGACAAGCAAGAAAUUGCUGAAACCCAGAAGGAACUAGCCAAACUCCAACUCGCACACAAGGAAUCUGCUCAAAAGACUGAAGAGGCCAUUGCACCACCAUCAGCAUCUGAGCCAAAGAAGCAGCAUGACGACAAGCCAGAAGCAUCAAACCAACAUCUAGCCCUCGUGCUAUCUCGCCAGGCAACUGUACCCCACUCACUCCCACCGAGAGCUUCCGAUCCAAUCCAACCCUACAAGGAACCGACUUUACAGCAGACCAUACCCGCUCAUUUGGGCCCGCAACAGGAUCGUUAUAUUCUCAACCAAGCGAGUGCUUACUACCCGCAGAGCCAACCGAUGCAACCUGAGCUACAAUACAUUCAAACCAGGCCGCCACAAACUCAAGAUAUUCCGGUCCCACUGCCACCUCAGCAGCCUUCCCAAGUAAUUAGUCAGGCUCAAACACAGACUUUCCCUCAAUAUCACCAGCAGCAAUGGCCUCAGCCGCCCUCUCAGCAAUUUCCCCCGCAGGUGAUGCAGCCUCAACAACCUAACCCUAAUCAGUUACCCCCACAGGUGGUACAGCAGCACCAAUCUGCACCACAGACUCAAAUCAGACCUCAAACUCCGCCAUCCUAUCCACCUUACCAGACUCACCAACCGGCAAACCCUAAUCCAGAGACUUUCUCUGGAAGUAUGGCUAUGCCUGUUUCGUACGCCGCAAUCCCACAGCAAC
rnacentral:lncRNA from 1 species